rnacentral:lncRNA from 1 species
CUUCUAACCAAAAUAUUGGACAGAGAGUUUCUAUUGUGGUAAUAUUUUGCUUAAUUAUUAUCCUUAUAGCAGGGAUAAUAGCCACCAACAAAAAAGAAGCAUGGGAGUUUUACUAUCACUGAGUUUGCUAGAACUUCUUAUUGAGUUUGGUAAUAUGUCACACCCUGGCUAUGAAAAGAAGUUUCAGGAAAAAUCUAGCCAAGGCUAACACUAAAGUUACUCUAGCCACCCAAAUCCAAUGUCACUAAUCCUAAAAGGAAUGUUACUUUUAUAUUAAUGUUUCUAGUAAUGUACAACGACAACUAGUGGAAGGAAGCAGGCAUUACAAUCCAUUGGUAUAACUGACAGGUAUCAAACUUCACUGUCAGUUAUGGUCUAUAGGACCCCCACUAACAGUGGUAAUCUUAAUGCUCAUAUUCUGACGCUGUAUUUUAAACCUUCAUGUAAAACUUAUCUCUUUUUACCUAGAAGCAAUCAAACCCCAAAUGGUGCUGUGAGCAGAGCCACACAUGGACACGCCAUUCUUCCGAGAACCCUUAGAUCAACCUCAGGAGAAGGCCGAACUGCUGCUCCCUGAGAUGACACCACUUUUCAGCAGGGAGUAGUCAGAAAUAAUCGUCAUCCAACACCCCCUAACAGCAUUAUCAAAGACAUAUCAGGAAGAUUCUGAGCAUGUGCUUUCAUACGACACCUGUCCAUAUUUGGAAAGAAGUUUAUGAACUUCAAGUUUGGAGUGAUCUUGUAACCUGGCUCUACAGGCCUCAUCCCAGCAGUCUUCGCUUUCAACACCCAGAGAAAGGCUGUCCAGGAGACUAAAACAACUUUACCAGAUUGAAACACUCAAGACAAAGGAGCCCAGGAACAAAAUUCAUCAGAAAACUAGAGGAAGUUUUCAUGGAGUUGCUGGAAUAGAAGAACCUGGCCUGCCUUUCCUGGGAGACAGCAAAGAAGUUUGCAAUCCACCUGGGGUUGUGUCAAUAAAUAAAUCACCAAUGGAAAAUCAGAACCCUAGAUCUGCACCACACAUAGUUGUGAAAUAUGACUUCAAAUACCCGUGGAGUAUGAACAUCAAAAUAAAAAGUUAAUGUAAAAAGUAGUCUAGUACUACUGCAGACCAUAGAGAAUAACAGAGACAGAUACAAUAUGUUCUGUAGAGACACUUCCAGAGCAGCAAGGCUCCCAAAGUGCUGUUGAAGAUAACCUCACAAUCAAAUAUUAAAAAUUAUGCAAAUAAAUAUAAUUAAUUUGCACAAGGUAAAUCAGCAAAUGAAACAAACAUCAGUAAAUGAACUAAAUAUCACCUCCAGAAGUAUAAAUAAUAGAACAAUCUAAAAGAGAUACCAAAAUAGAUUAAACCGAUUAAAGAAUAAUAGAAACUAAGACACAAAUAGAAUAAUUAAAAAUAUGUAAAUUUGAAACAGAAUUAAAGUAGAAUUCUAAAAAUGAAUGAAAAGGUCAAUAAAAUAAGUCACUCAAUUGACAGAUAAAUAAAUAAAUAAUGAUUUUAAAGAUAGACCUGUGAAAAAUAACAUUGGUAAUUUGAUAGGUAUUGUACUGGAUCUGUAAAUUGCUUUGGGCAGUAUGGUUAUUUUAAUGAUAUUCAUUCUUUCAAUCUCUGAG